AAGUGCUGCGCUCUGCAGAUAAAUUUGUGAACAUUCAUGCAACAACAACUCACGUGGUUUGUGAAAUCGUGAAAAACUUGUGAUUGCUCAAAAAUCUCCUGAUUUUUAUAUCGUCUUUAUGAAACAUUAACGUAUGUAUAAAAAUGGCAGUGCAAGAAAAUUCGGACACCGCUAUGGACUGUGAAUCAGUAGAUCAAACUGAUGCAUGGACGGAAGCUAUUAACAAAGUAUUACAAACCAACGUUCCACGGAAGAAUCAGUAGUUCUUGCCCUUGCUGAGAAAGAUCAGGAAGUCAAGGAAGAAACAGAAAUCAAGAAAGAGUAUGAUUUUGAAAUUGAAGGUGGAACUGUUUCUGAUGAAGAUAUCCAAGAGGAAAAACCUGAUGUAAAGGAUUUAGAUCUAAAACUGAAAUUAGGAACUAAAAGAUUACUUAAAAAAGAAUACGCAAAGUUGGACAUGUUAAACCAGACAUUCUAGAAAAAAAUUAUGAACGAACAUUAAUGAAAAUAGCAACAAAGUAAGUAUUAUGAGCAACAGUUACCAAGUCGAUAAGAAUAUGAAUGGCUAAAGUGUGAAACCACAUAUCUUCAUUGCCUUGUUUCAAAAAUUGUCACUCUUAUUUUAUUUUUUCAAAAAGAAACACCCAACUUUAUAACUUACAAUUUUCAUAGAAUAAAAAUCAAGUAAGUUUUUAAGGAAUUACGUUAACUAGUUUUCCAAAGAAAAAUGAAGUGUAACAGGAGGUCUGCAACGCGGAAAUGGAGGUUUCGUGGUUUCCCGUUUUGACCAUCAAUAUCGAAUCUGCUUUACGUGAAAACAGUGUGUUUUCAACUGCUCUUAACUUUGCAUUUGUCUAAAAUAUUUUAACAUUUGAAUUUGGAAACCAUUUACCUCAAGCACCGUACUUAUUUUCGAAUUUCCACUCCUGUUCAAUUUUUUUCUGAGGGAAAACAAGACAACUUUAUUGCAUGAAAUUUUCACAGAAUAUUCAUCUAGU
rnacentral:lncRNA from 1 species